AUUGAGCGCUGGCGGCAUGCCUUACACAUGCAAGUCGAACGGUAACAGGUCUUCGGAUGCUGACGAGUGGCGAACGGGUGAGUAAUACAUCGGAACGUGCCCAGACGUGGGGGAUAACGAGGCGAAAGCUUUGCUAAUACCGCAUACGAUCUAAGGAUGAAAGCAGGGGACCGCAAGGCCUUGUGCGUUUGGAGCGGCCGAUGGCAGAUUAGGUAGUUGGUGGGAUAAAAGCUUACCAAGCCGACGAUCUGUAGCUGGUCUGAGAGGACGACCAGCCACACUGGGACUGAGACACGGCCCAGACUCCUACGGGAGGCAGCAGUGGGGAAUUUUGGACAAUGGGCGAAAGCCUGAUCCAGCAAUGCCGCGUGCAGGAUGAAGGCCUUCGGGUUGUAAACUGCUUUUGUACGGAACGAAAAGGCUCUGGCUAAUACCUGGGGCACAUGACGGUACCGUAAGAAUAAGCACCGGCUAACUACGUG
rnacentral:rRNA from 1 species